rnacentral:rRNA from 2 species
UGCUCAGGACGAACGCUGGCGGCGUGCUUAACACAUGCAAGUCGAACGAUGACGGUGGUGCUUGCACCGCCUGAUUAGUGGCGAACGGGUGAGUAACACGUGAGUAACCUGCCCUCCACUUCGGGAUAACCUCGGGAAAUCGUGGCUAAUACCGGAUAUGAGCACUCAUCGCAUGGUGGGUGUUGGAAAGAUUUAUCGGUGGGGGAUGGACUCGCGGCCUAUCAGUUUGUUGGUGAGGUGAUGGCUCACCAAGACGAUGACGGGUAGCCGGCCUGAGAGGGCGACCGGCCACACUGGGACUGAGACACGGCCCAGACUCCUACGGGAGGCAGCAGUGGGGAAUAUUGCACAAUGGGCGAAAGCCUGAUGCAGCGACGCCGCGUGGGGGAUGACGGCCUUCGGGUUGUAAACCCCUUUCAGUAGGGAAGAAGCGAGAGUGACGGUACCUGCAGAAGAAGCGCCGGCUAACUACGUGCCAGCAGCCGCGGUAAUACGUAGGGCGCAAGCGUUGUCCGGAAUUAUUGGGCGUAAAGAGCUUGUAGGUGGCUUGUCGCGUCUGCCGUGAAAACCCGAGGCUCAACCUCGGGCGUGCGGUGGGUACGGGCAGGCUAGAGUGUGGUAGGGGAGACUGGAACUCCUGGUGUAGCGGUGAAAUGCGCAGAUAUCAGGAAGAACACCGAUGGCGAAGGCAGGUCUCUGGGCCAUUACUGACACUGAGAAGCGAAAGCAUGGGUAGAACAGGAUUAGAUACCCUGGUUAGUUC